rnacentral:lncRNA from 1 species
GUGGAUGUACAGGUUGGUACUGGGACGAAGAAUACAUUGAACAUAUUAAGAAAUCUUUUGCAUAGGUGGUUGAGGCUGAAGGUGAUGAGACAGUGAGCCAGCGAAAGGAGUUCAAUGAUGUUGAUCAAGCGAAUGAUCUAUCUAUUAUAGUUGGGAUCGGACGCGAACUAAUUAUGUUGCUUAAGUGCAUUUUAGUUUUGGUUUUUUAGUGCUAGUUGCGAUUGUAUUUGUUGUAGCCAAGCUUGCUUGAAUUAAUCAACUAAUAUGUGUGUU